CGUGUCGUGAGAUGUUGGGUUAAGUCCCGCAACGAGCGCAACCCUUGAUCUUAGUUGCCAGCAUUCAGUUGGGCACCCUAGAGAGACUGCCGUCGACAAGACGGAGGAAGGCGGGGAUGACGUCAAAUCAUCAUGCCCCUUAUGACCUGGGCUACACACGUGCUACAAUGGCUGGUACUACGGGAUGCUAGCUCGCGAGAGUACGCCAAUCUCUUAAAACCAGUCUCAGUUCGGAUUGUAGGCUGCAACUCGCCUACAUGAAGUCGGAAUCGCUAGUAAUCGCGGAUCAGCAUGCCGCGGUGAAUACGUUCCCGGGCCUU
rnacentral:rRNA from 1 species